UGGGGGAUAGUUUAACGGUAAAACUCGCGGCUCUGACCCGCGCAUUCCCGGUUCAAAUCCGGGUCCCCCAGCCA
rnacentral:tRNA from 5 species